GUGAGGAAUAUUGGUCAAUGGGCGAGAGCCUGAACCAGCCAAGUCGCGUGAAGGAAGAAGGAUCUAUGGUUCGUAAACUUCUUUUGCAGGGGAAUAAAGUGCAGGACGUGUCCUGUUUUGUAUGUACCCUGAGAAUAAGGAUCGGCUAACUCCGUGCCAGAAGCCGCGGUAAUACGGAGGAUCCGAGCGUUAUCCGGAUUUAUUGGGUUUAAAGGGUGCGUAGGUGGUUUGAUAAGUCAGCGGUGAAAGUUUGCAGCUUAACUGUAAAAAUGCCGUUGAAACUGUCGGACUUGAGUGUAAAUGAGGUAGGCGGAAUGCGUGGUGUAGCGGUGAAAUGCUUAGAUAUCACGCAGAACUCCGAUUGCGAAGGCAGCUUACUAAGCUACAACUGACACUGAAGCACGAAAGCGUGGGGAUCAAACAGGAUUAGAUACCAGUGUAGUCC
rnacentral:rRNA from 1 species